rnacentral:rRNA from 1 species
UACCUUUUGUAUAAUGGGUCAGCGACUUAUUCUCAGUAGCGAGCUUAACCGUAUAGGGGAGGCGUAGGGAAACCGAGUCUUAAAUGGGCGACAUAGUUGCUGGGAAUAGACCCGAAACCGGGCGAUCUAUCCAUGAGCAGGUUGAAGGUUGAGUAACAUCAACUGGAGGACCGAACCGGGAUCUGUUGAAAAAGAUUCGGAUGACUUGUGGAUCGGAGUGAAAGGCUAAUCAAGCUCGGAGAUAGCUGGUUCUCCUCGAAAGCUAUUUAGGUAGCGCCUCAUGUAUCACUGUAGGGGGUAGAGCACUGUUUCGGCUAGGGGGUCAUCCCGACUUACCAAACCGAUGCAAACUCCGAAUACCUACAAGUGCCGAGCAUGGGAGACACACGGCGGGUGCUAACGUCCGUCGUGAAGAGGGAAACAACCCAGACCGCCAGCUAAGGUCCCAAAGUCAUGGUUAAGUGGGAAACGAUGUGGGAAGGCCCAGACAGCCAGGAUGUUGGCUUAGAAGCAGCCAUCAUUUAAAGAAAGCGUAAUAGCUCACUGGUCGAGUCGGCCUGCGCGGAAGAUGUAACGGGGCUAAACCAUGCACCGAAGCUGCGGCAGCGACACUUAGGUGUUGUUGGGUAGGGGAGCGUUCUGUAAGCCUGCGAAGGUGACCUGUGAGGGUUGCUGGAGGUAUCAGAAGUGCGAAUGCUGACAUAAGUAACGAUAAUGCGGGUGAAAAACCCGCACGCCGGAAGACCAAGGGUUCCUGUCCAACGUUAAUCGGGGCAGGGUGAGUCGACCCCUAAGGCGAGGCCGAAAGGCGUAGUCGAUGGGAAACAGGUUAAUAUUCCUGUACUUGGUGUUACUGCGAAGGGGGGACGGAGAAGGCUAGGUUAUCCGGGCGACGGUUGUCCCGGUUUAAGCGUGUAGGUGGAUGUUUUUGGUAAAUCCGGAACAUCAUUAACACUGAGGCGUGAUGACGAGUCACUACGGUGAUGAAGUAGCCGAUGCCAAGCUUCCAGGAAAAGCCUCUAAGCUCCAGGUAACACGAAAUCGUACCCCAAACCGACACAGGUGGUCAGGUAGAGAAUACCAAGGCGCUUGAGAGAACUCGGGUGAAGGAACUAGGCAAAAUGGCACCGUAACUUCGGGAGAAGGUGCGCCGGCGUAGGGUGAUGAGACUUGCUCUCUGAGCUCGAACCGGUCGAAGAUACCAGGUGGCUGCAACUGUUUAUUAAAAACACAGCACUCUGCUAACGCGUGAGCGGACGUAUAGGGUGUGACGCCUGCCCGGUGCCGGAAGGUUAAUUGAUGGGGUCAGCCGCAAGGCGAAGCUCUUGAUCGAAGCCCCGGUAAACGGCGGCCGUAACUAUAACGGUCCUAAGGUAGCGAAAUUCCUUGUCGGGUAAGUUCCGACCUGCACGAAUGGCGUAAUGAUGGCCAGGCUGUCUCCACCCGAGACUCAGUGAAAUUGAACUCGCUGUGAAGAUGCAGUGUACCCGCGGCAAGACGGAAAGACCCCGUGAACCUUUACUAUAGCUUGACACUGAACCUUGAGCCUUGAUGUGUAGGAUAGGUGGGAGGCUUUGAAGUGUGGACGCCAGUCUGCAUGGAGCCAACCUUGAAAUACCACCCUUUAAUGUUUGAUGUUCUAACGUGGGCCCGUGAACCGGGUUGCGGACAGUGUCUGGUGGGUAGUUUGACUGGGGCGGUCUCCUCCCAAAGAGUAACGGAGGAGCACGAAGGUUAGCUAAUCCUGGUCGGACAUCAGGAGGUUAGUGCAAAGGCAUAAGCUAGCUUGACUGCGAGAGUGACGGCUCGAGCAGGUGCGAAAGCAGGUCUUAGUGAUCCGGUGGUUCUGAAUGGAAGGGCCAUCGCUCAACGGAUAAAAGG